CCUACGGGAGUCUGCAGUGGGGAAUAUUGGACAAUGGGGGGAACCCUGAUCCAGCCAUGCCGCGUGUGUGAAGAAGGCCCUCGGGUUGUAAAGCACUUUCAGUGAGGAAGAACGCCUGGUGGUUAAUACCCAUCAGGAAAGACAUCACUCACAGAAGAAGCACCGGCUAACUCCGUGCCAGCAGCCGCGGUAAUACGGAGGGUGCGAGCGUUAAUCGGAAUUACUGGGCGUAAAGCGCGCGUAGGUGGCUUGAUAAGCCGGUUGUGAAAGCCCCGGGCUCAACCUGGGAACGGCAUCCGGAACUGUCAAGCUAGAGUGCAGGAGAGGAAGGUAGAAUUCCCGGUGUAGCGGUGAAAUGCGUAGAGAUCGGGAGGAAUACCAGUGGCGAAGGCGGCCUUCUGGACUGACACUGACACUGAGGUGCGAAAGCGUGGGUAGCAAACAGGAUUAGAUACCCGAGUAGUC
rnacentral:rRNA from 1 species